AGAGUUUGAUCAUGGCUCAGAACGAACGCUGGCGGCGUGGAUAAGACAUGCAAGUCGAACGAUCAUUAUUGGGUAGCAAUAUUCGAUAGUGGGAGUGGCGCAAGGGUGCGUAACACGUGGGUAAUUUGCCGUGAAGUCUGGAAUAACUUGCUGAAAGGCGAGCUAAUACCGGAUGUGAUUGCUGGAGGGCAUCCUCUGGCAAUUAAAGUCGGGGACCGCAAGGCCUGACACUUCUCGAUAAGCCCGCGGCCUAUCAGCUAGUUGGUGAGGUAACGGCUCACCAAGGCUAAGACGGGUAGCUGGUCUGAGAGGACGACCAGCCUCACUGGAACUGAGACACGGUCCAGACACCUACGGGUGGCAGCAGUCGAGAAUUUUUCUCAAUGGGGGAAACCCUGAAGGAGCGACGCCGCGUGGGGGAUGAAUGGCUUCGGCCCGUAAACCCCUGUCAUUUGCGAUCAAACCUUACGACCUAACACGUCGUGAGCUGAUAGUAGCGGAAGAGGAAGGGACGGCUAACUCUGUGCCAGCAGCCGCGGUAAUACAGAGGUCCCAAGCGUUGUUCGGAUUCACUGGGCGUAAAGGGUGCGUAGGCGGUCGGGUAAGUCUGAUGUGAAAUCUUCAAGCUCAACUUGGAAACUGCAUCGGAUACUAUUCGGCUCGAGGAAUGGAGGGGAGACUGGAAUACUUGGUGUAGCAGUGAAAUGCGUAGAUAUCAAGUGGAACACCAGUGGCGAAGGC
rnacentral:rRNA from 1 species